CAUACGUCAGUUAUAUUUAUAACCCAUUUUCAUAGCAGGAUGGGAGGGGGAAAAAUGACCAUAUGGGCGUGACAAUGACAUUGUUUUUCACAAGUUAUAAACAUCUGUUUUUAGUUAUAAUUCGAUGUCACAUAAUGUAUGCAUAUUGGAUAAAACCCAGAUGAUUACAAAUACCGAAAUCUUGGACAAUUAACAAGGUCAUUCCAGAAUCCUUAUCAUGUCAUGUCAUGUAAAUAACAAAAUCAUGUUCCAAUAACAUUUCCCGUAAAUAGAUAAGUCAUUGUGACAUGAGAUACAAUUCCAAAUUUAUUCUUGAUUCAAAUUAACCCUUACAUGAACAGUUAGGAUAUAGAGCAAAAUGGAUAUUCAUAUCCUACA